GUUUGUUAAUGUCAAAACAAUUAAAUUCAAUUCAACUAUCAAUAUGGUCGCAUAAAUUUAUGACAAAAAAGAUAGACGACUUACAAAGUUUGUUAGGAAAUGUAGAUAUGUAGUUGAAUUUAAUUUAAUUGAAGAGCAAUCUAUUGAUGUAUUGUAUUGAUUCGUGAUUGCACUUUUCUCCAUCACAUAACCUAAACAAUGUGAAAAACACUCGCAUCAAUUUCUGACGAAAGAUUGAUAUAAGUUCCUGAAAGUUUCUGAAAAAAUAUGCGACGACUUACAAACUUGUAAGUUAAAAAAUUUUCGGUGUCGGUGCCUUUACUGUCAAAUACUCCAACGGCUCCAACAAACGUCAAACUGUUUCAGUUGAAUGUGAUAUAUUCUUGAUAAAAUUUAUAUAAAUAUGAAAU